rnacentral:rRNA from 1 species
UGGGGAAUCUUGCACAAUGGGGGCAACCCUGAUGCAGCGACGCCGCGUGAGCGAUGAAGCCCUUCGGGGCGUAAAGCUCUUUCGACCGGAACGAUAAUGACGGUACCGGGAGAAGAAGCUGCGGCUAACUACGUGCCAGCAGCCGCGGUAAUACGUAGGCAGCAAGCGUUGUUCGGAGUUACUGGGCGUAGAGAGUGCGUAGGCGGUUUUCUAAGUUCGGUGUGAAAUCUCCCGGCUUAACUGGGAGGGUGCGCCGAAGACUGGGAAGCUGGAGUGUGGGAAAGGCAGGCGGAAUUCCUGGUGGAGCGGUGAAAUGCGUAGAUAUCAGGAGGAACACCGGUGGUGUAAACGGCUUUCUGGACCGUAACUGACGCUGAGACACGAAAGCGUGGGUAG